rnacentral:snRNA from 1 species
GUGCUUGCUUUGGUGGCACAUAUACUAAAAUUGGAACAAUACAGAAAAGUUUAGCAUGGCCCCUGUGCAAGGAUGGUAUGCAAAUUCGUGAAGUGUUCCAUAUUUUU